GAUGAACGCUGGCGGCGUGCCUAAUACAUGCAAGUCGAGCGAACAGACGAGGAGCUUGCUCCUCUGACGUUAGCGGCGGACGGGUGAGUAACACGUGGAUAACCUACCUAUAAGACUGGGAUAACUUCGGGAAACCGGAGCUAAUACCGGAUAAUAUAUUGAACCGCAUGGUUCAAUAGUGAAAGACGGUUUUGCUGUCACUUAUAGCUGGAUCCGCGCCGCAUUAGCUAGUUGGUAAGGUCACGGCUUACCAAGGCAACGAUGCGUAGCCGACCUGAGAGGGUGGUCGGCCACACUAGAACUGAGACACGGACCAUACUCCUACGGGAGGCAGCAGUAGGGAAUCUUCCGCAAUGGGCGAAAGCCUGACGGAGCAACGCCACGUGAGUGAUGAAGGUCUUCGGAUCGUAAAACUCUGUUAUUAGGGAAGAACAAAUGUGUAAGUAACUAUGCACGUCUUGACGGUACCUGAUCAGAAAGCCACGGCUAACUACGUG
rnacentral:rRNA from 1 species